AGAACGAACGCUGGCGGCAGGCUUAACACAUGCAAGUCGAACGUUCGUAGCAAUACGGGAGUGGCAGACGGGUGAGUAACGCGUGGGAACAUACCCUCCGGUUCGGAAUAGCUCAGGGAAACUUGGAUUAAUACCGGAUACGGCUGAGAGGCGAAAGAUUUAUCGCCGGAGGAUUGGCCCGCGUUCGAUUAGCUUGUUGGUGAGGUAACGGCUCACCAAGGCGAUGAUCGAUAGCUGGUCUGAGAGGAUGAUCAGCCACAUUGGGACUGAGACACGGCCCAAACUCCUACGGGAGGCAGCAGUGGGGAAUAUUGGACAAUGGGCGCAAGCCUGAUCCAGCCAUGCCGCGUGAGUGAUGACGGCCUUAGGGUUGUAAAGCUCUUUCGCUCGGGACGAUAAUGACGGUACCGAGAUAAGAAGCCCCGGCUAACUUCGUGCCAGCAGCCGC
rnacentral:rRNA from 1 species